AGCAAUUAUACUUAUUGAAAAGUAAGGAUUAGAGCUUUCUUAAAAUCUAUGAAUGAAAGAAUUUGGGUAUGCGUAGAGAAAGGUUGGGCCGUCCCUGCUACUUUUGUUGCUAGUGUAGUUAUCUCUAUCAAUAUUUCACUUUGGAUUAAGGAUGAACUUGUAAAAUGUAACUGAAAUAAUAAAGAACUUCAUGUCCUAUUUACGGCUAUCACCUAAAGAGUUCAGUAGAUUGUCGAUGUGUGAGACUAUUAAAGAAGUUGGGAUAUUAUAGAAAUCACACAUAGAGAAAUGAGAUAGUUAAGAACUUUAAGUUUCAGAUGUUGAACACUAGAUUUGAAGAGAUUAGAAUGAAAGAUGAUGAAUCCUUCGAUGAAUUUUGUGUGAAGUUAAAUGAUGUAGCAAACUUUAGUUUCAACCUAGGUGAAAAAUCCUAGAAAAAAGUUAGAAAAAUAUUUGGAUCCUUACCCGAGAGGUAUAGAACUAAGAUUAUUGUGAGUUAGGAGAGCAAAGAUUUAGACAUGAUUAAGAUAGAGAAAUUAGUUGGAUCUCUCCAAAUCUAUGCACUAAGCAUUUCUAACUCUAAAAAUAAUAAGUCAAUUGCCUUAAACACUAUUAGGGAAGAAGACAAUGACAUUCUGAUGAUGAGAUUCUUAAGCAUGAGGAGAUAGCUUAUUUUGUUAAGAAAUCUCAAUAUGUUUUUCAAAUAAGAAGAAACGCCGGGAAAGAAAAUCAAGAGAAGAAAAAUACAGGGUGGUCAAGAACAUCUACUAUAUGAAGUGAGGUUCAACUUUCAAAAAUUACAACUAAGAGACAUGUGGUACUGAAUGAAAAGGUACCUUAUACAUUGUGAAUCAAUUUGAGCAGUCAGUAAAAAUAAUUUCAGAUCAAAGUUCAAAUAAUCCACGGGUUAUGGCAACGUUCCCAUCAAGACAUAUGUGCCUUUUGUUCCAUUUUCUCGAAGAUUGCACAUGAUGAAGCUCGAUGAACAAUUUGCAGUGUUCCUGG
rnacentral:lncRNA from 1 species